AGCGAUCCGAUCGUUAACGAAGACCAUUCGGAUUGGAGGAACAUUAAUGUGACUAACCACUGCGAACACCUAUCUUUAUUUAUGAACAGACUUUCGGAGAACCUAGCGUCUGAUUUCAGCAUAACACUAAUUCAUAAUUCUGAUUACGGGGAAAGUAAUGUAUCUGAAGACGACAUGUACAGUAAAAGGUUCCAAUUCGAGGAAAUGUUCACGGGAAUGACAUUGAGGCAUUCUUUAAAAUUUUCAAGCGUAUAUGAUCACGUAAAGAAAAAUGGUAAAAAGGAGGGUACAACUUUCCAAAAUAGUUGGGUGACUGUAGAUUAUAUAUUUUUCAGUAAUUUGCUGAAAUUAGAGGAACGUCUAAGUCUCCCUUCAGUGUCGGAUGCAAAAAAAAUGGGCCCUCUACCUAACGAUACCUGUGGCUCCGACCACAUACCGCUAGCCGCCAUGUUUACCUUACGUAAUUUGUCUAUGCCUUCAUGAAGGCCUACGACUUGAGUUAUUAAUACUUAGACAUGUAAUAUAGUAUUUUAUUGGACGAUAAUUUUUUGUGGAAAAUGCUCUGGAAAGUAGUAAUAUUUUAAUAAAAUAAUGUUUAAUCUGUUAAUGUUUUAAAAAGUUU